AUGCCCCCGAAGGCAUCCCCUCUUUCGUCUACUUCCAUCGAUAACUUUACUUGGAGCUAUAUUUUUAUUCACCACAUGAUAUGUGUUUUGCUUGGAGCGUCAAUUUAUUUUGUUAAGAUUUUCUUGCUGUUAUUUAGAACAAUGUUUUGCAUCUUUUAUUUCAGUAAAAGUGGCAUUGAUAGCCUUUACUAUGCCUAUGUUAGAAGUCCACAUAUUGCUGUUUGGAAACAGAAAGUUUAUCGCUGUUGCAAUAAUUCCCUAGAAAAGUCAGAAUGUGAUAAAAUGUUGAAACCUUUUGCAUAUUAA
rnacentral:rRNA from 1 species